GGGGAGGGGGUAAGGAGAGCGGUUCAUUUGAAGGUUAUAAAGCAUACACUCUAAUAGGAUCGAAGUGAAAUUAGUUAAUAAGAAAAUGCUGGCCAGAAGCUCUCUGGGCUUUUAAGUGCUCUGCAGGCCAUUUAAGGAAAUUGAAUAAGAACAGACUCAGUUACCUGCGGACCCGAGUAUUGUCUCCGGUCUACACAGAGGCGAGAAGGGAAGGAUUGUGCCUGGGAGACCCAAAGGUCUGCAACCCGCCUGCCAGGGCAGGUCCUUAAAAGAAAGUCCCCUUUCCGCGCACAAUAGACUGCUUUUUUUUGUUUAAAGCAUACCAGACUCUAGUAUUUACCACAAGGGGUUAAGCAAAGGUAAGAGGCCAUUAGCAGAUGCUUAAGGCUUCCAGGGCAGGUCUGAAAGGCAGGCUCUUCACCGCGCUGGAAAAACUGGCCCCUUGGUAUUAUUUUUUCUCUUUCAUUUCUAUGAGUUUUCCCACCAUUGUGGUGCUCUGCUGAUUUGUAUUCGGAGUGGUGCCAGUAGGUCAGUUUAUUGUGUUACCUAACUUCCUAUCUGCUGCCUCGCUUGCUCGCUUUAAACUUUCUAGCCUUUUUGUUUAAGAGGUGAUAAUAAAACCUUUCCUUUGGCAAGCCGCUCAUUAGAAACCCGCCGAACCCUGGAGGGACCUCGGAAAACUGGUGCCCGGGAGUGAGGAGGUCGGAGAAGGCUUUUGUCCGAGGGCAUCACUGCUGUGAGCCGCAGGAAACGCUCCUCAGGAUAUCCUUUUCCUUCAAAGUCUCCAGAAAUUACAAGACAUGCCGCUUUUAUGGGGCCAUUUGUUAGGAGACUGACAAGAUGGCUGUCCUCAAGAGCCACUGCAACCGGCUUGCCAGGACCAGCUCAGAUGAUGCCCUGCAGCUUCUCAGCCUCCUAGUGUGGGGGCGUUUCUUGCUGGAGUUUGAGUACGCUGUGCUCCGGUGGGCAGUGCCUGCCUUUGAGACAUGCUGGCCCUUGAGGGAGUGCUGUGCCAUGUGGAGGAUGGCCGUCUCAAAUACGCGCUCUGAUGUCAUGACCGGUCUGGGCGACAGGGCAGGCUCAGCAACAGACUAGGACUUCCAGCUCGUGCCACACCCUGGGCCCUCACCAGGCUGCUUUUUUGCUUUUUGUGUGGGAAGUUGAAGGUGUUGUCAUGUGUAUGAUUGGAUAGACCAGGGUAGGAAUUGUUUAUUUAUAAUAAUGAUCGUGUGGCCGGCAGUCCGACCGCAUAACUAGCAUGUAAGACACGAUGUGCAAUGUAGCGAAGCUGUUUGUCACGGUGUGAUGUGAUGAAUGCAAUGACAUGGUGUUUUUGGUUUGAUGGUAUAAUUUGUUUGUUUUUUUGCUUUGUAAGCGGCCAACCUUUUUGUAUCCCUGAGCCCCUGAAUAGAGUAGUUAAAAAAUCAAAGUCUUUCUUUCUUUCUUUCAAGAUGGCGGCCGACAGGUGAAGCCCUUCUGAGCUCCUGCAGCUCGGGUGCCUCUUUGCGCGUUCCCUGCACUCCGUGUCCCCCUUUUCCUGUCCCCCCACAAAAAAACCUUGCCUCCACCCACCCUCUCCCUGGGGCGCCCUUCCCCCGCUUUCUGAGCGUUUUUCCCCUGGGCUCUGGCAGCCUCGUUUGCCUCUGCCCCUCCCCCACCUGAGUUCUCCCUGUGAUUCCUGCUGCCUCCCUCCCCCAGGGCCCCUUACCUUGGUCCCUGCCAUCUCCCCCUGCCUUGGGGCUUGCCCUGCACCCCUGCAGGGUUGCUCUGCCCCGCCUCAGGCUGAUUUUGGGGCGUUUUCA